UUUGAUAAUGAAGAUGGAUCGAAGAAUCCACCAUUACUAUAAUUGCAAAAAGAGUGUCACAAGGCUCAUGAAAAAGUUACUAAAUUCUAACUCAUUAGUACACGAUCCUUUUAACCUUAAACAACUAAAUCUUUUAAUACGUAAAACAUAGCAAACUAUAUUUCCACAACUGCUACUUCCCCACAUUGUACACUAGGACAUCAUGUGAUUAUAAUCUAACACUUGAAAAAUUAAAAUAAUUUAAAUAUUAAUUGCAGAUUAGAUGCCGAAACAAGCGAAUUGUGUGCUCAUACCAUUCAUCGACUUAAUCUGCAAUACAGAAAGGUAUAGAGAAAUCCGACCAGCUGCAUCUGAUGUCUUCAAUCUCAGCUUCUGUUAGAUCUAUUCCUAUCCACCUGAAUAGUUCUUGGAUCCAAGGUAGAGAGUAUUUGGGGCAUUGACAUGCCACCCGAUACAACAAUUUCUGUGAGCAAGGAACAAAGUAAAAAGUCGGCAGAUAAUAUUUAUAUAUAGUAUCAG
rnacentral:lncRNA from 1 species